CCAGACUCCUACGGGAGGCAGCAGUGGGGAAUAUUGGACAAUGGGGGGAACCCUGAUCCAGCGACGCCGCGUGAGUGAAGAAGUAUUUCGGUAUGUAAAGCUCUAUCAGCAGGGAAGAAAGAAAUGACGGUACCUGACUAAGAAGCCCCGGCUAACUACGUGCCAGCAGCCGCGGGAAUACGUAGGGGGCGAGCGUUAUCCGGAUUCACUGGGUGUAAAGGGAGCGUAGACGGCCAAGCAAGCCAGGGGUGAAAGCCCGGGGCCCAACCCCGGGACUGCCCUUGGAACUGCUUGGCUGGAGUGCGGGAGGGGCAGGCGGAAUUCCUGGUGUAGCGGUGAAAUGCGUAGAUAUUAGGAGGAACACCAGUGGCGAAGGCGGCCUACUGGACGGUGACUGACGCUGAGGCUCGAAAGCGUGGGGAGCAAACAGGAUUAGAUACCCGGGUA
rnacentral:rRNA from 1 species